ensembl:misc_RNA Metazoa_SRP Metazoan signal recognition particle RNA
GCCAGGUGUGGUGGUGGGCACCUGUAGUCCCAGCUACUCAGGAGGCUGAGGCAGGAGAAUCACUUGAACCCGGGAGGUGGAGGUUGCAGUCAGCUGAGAUCCCGCCACUGCUCUCCAGCCUGGGUGACAGAGUGAGACCCUGUCUCAA